GCAUCUCCUCUGCCAGCAGAAAGAGCCCGUGCAGCAGAGGGCCAAGCGUCAGAUCUGUGGAUGUAUAUAUUGGACGCUCAGAUGAAGAGGAGAGCAGAGCUGGAUCGGAUGGCAAAGAACACUGCCGGAGAGACCUGGUAAACCCAAAUAAAUAGUGAGGUGAACUGGGACCAUCUCAAGUGGGCUCCUGUCUGUCACUUGCCCGUCCUCAUGUGUCACCGCUCUGAUUGUCUGAUCGUGUCCACCUGCAGCUCAUCACCUUCAUGUGUUUUAUAGUCUGCCUUUGUCUUGUGCCUGAGUGUAUCGUGUCUGCCAUGCACCCCAGCUACAGUCCAUGUUGUCGCUCAGCUCUGCUCGUCGCACGUCACGUAAGCCUUAGUAGGAGUGAUUUUAUUGUUCUAGUUAAGAAUUUCAUAGUGAGUAGUAGAGCCUCCAAUUUUUAGGAGUGUGUUUUCAUUUGGUCUUUUUUUGAACCAAGUUUGUUUUUCCUCCUUAGGGAGUGUUUUGAGUUAAUAGUCCUUAGCCCUUUUGUUUUCCUCCUAGUGGAGUCAUUUUCUUUACAUACAUCUCUCUUUGGUUUUAUUUUGUGUUUUUUUUCCCUCCUUCACAGGGUGGGUUUGUGUUUAUUGGAAGAAUUAUCUUCCUUUUUAUUUUUUGAUAAUGCUUCAUAGACCGGAUAGCUAUUUUUUUUUUCAUAGCCUGUUAUUUUGGUCACUCUGUCUGAGAGGUUGAACAGGGUUCAAAAUAAAGCCUGAUUUAACAGUCA